rnacentral:rRNA from 1 species
UAGGGAAUCUUCCGCAAUGGACGAAAUUCUGACGGAGCAACGCCGCGUGAGUGAAGAAGGAUUUCGGUUCGUAAAACUCUGUUGUUAGGGAAGAAAAAAUGUAUAGUAACUAUAUACAAAAGAGACGGUACCUAACCAGAAAGCCACGGCUAACUACGUGCCAGCAGCCGCGGUAAUACGUAGGUGGCAAGCGUUGUCCGGAAUUAUUGGGCGUAAAGCGCGCGCAGGUGGUUUAGAAAGUCUGAUGUGAAAGCCCACGGCUCAACCAUGGAGGGUCAUUGGAAACUAAUAAACUUGAGUGCAGGAGAGAAAAGUGGAAUUCCUAGUGUAGCGGUGAAAUGCGUAGAGAUUAGGAGGAAGAACGGUGGCGAAAGCGGCUUUUUGGCCUGCAACUGACACUGAGGCGCGAAAGCGUGGGGAGCAAACAGG